UGAACGCUGGCGGCGUGCCUAAUACAUGCAAGUCGAGCGAACAGAUACGGAGCUUGCUCCUUUGACGUUAGCGGCGGACGGGUGAGUAACACGUGGGUAACCUACCUAUAAGACUGGGAUAACUUCGGGAAACCGGAGCUAAUACCGGAUAACAUUUGGAACCGCAUGGUUCUAAAGUGAAAGAUGGUUUUGCUAUCACUUAUAGAUGGACCCGCGCCGUAUUAGCUAGUUGGUAAGGUAACGGCUUACCAAGGCGACGAUACGUAGCCGACCUGAGAGGGUGAUCGGCCACACUGGAACUGAGACACGGUCCAGACUCCUACGGGAGGCAGCAGUAGGGAAUCUUCCGCAAUGGGCGAAAGCCUGACGGAGCAACGCCGCGUGAGUGAUGAAGGGUUUCGGCUCGUAAAACUCUGUUAUUAGGGAAGAACAAAUGUGUAAGUAACUGUGCACGUCUUGACGGUACCUAAUCAGAAAGCCACGGCUAACUACGUG
rnacentral:rRNA from 1 species